CCUACGGGAGGCAGCAGUGGGGAAUAUUGCACAAUGGGGGAAACCCUGAUGCAGCGACGCCGCGUGAGUGAAGAAGUAGUUCGGUAUGUAAAGCUCUAUCAGCAGGGAAGAAAAUGACGGUACCUGAUUAAGAAGCCCCGGCUAACUACGUGCCAGCAGCCGCGGUAAUACGUAGGGGGCAAGCGUUAUCCGGAUUUACUGGGUGUGAAGGGAGCGUAGACGGCAGCACAAGUCUGGAGGGAAAUGCCGGGGCUUAACCCCGGAACUGCUUUGGAAACUGUGCAGCUAGAGUGCAGGAGAGGUAAGUGGAAUUCCUGGUGUAGCGGUGAAAUGCGUAGAUAUUAGGAGGAACACCAGUGGCGAAGGCGGCUUACUGGACUGUAACUGUCGUUGAGGCUCGAAAGCGUGGGGAGCAAACAGGAUUAGAUACCCUAGUAGUC
rnacentral:rRNA from 1 species